rnacentral:lncRNA from 1 species
CCAUUACCUGGGAGGCAGCCUCCAAGCAGCAUGCAGCCUUGUCAGAAACUGCACCGCCAAGGGUGAGAAUGGCAUUAGAAGCAAAGAGUGCACUUGAACUGAGUACUUUCCACAUAACCGACGCUAGGGACACCGCAGGACAUAGUUGCUGCCUCUGAGGAGCUCCCAAAUUUGCUCUCCAGAGAGGCCUCUCACCCCACCUUCCAUAGCUUUGUCUCCACUGAGUCAAAAGCUGUUAGAUCAUCUGUUUGUCCCCUGAGUGGUCCUUAGAAUGAACAGCCAAAUGGAUGGCUUGGUGGUGGUGUGUGCCAUGCCUGCAGGAAGCUCCCAAGGAAGCAAUUUCCAGCACUUUCCCCUCUGCAGCUUCCCACCAAGCUAUGCGAAAACAUAUCAAUGAUUUGACUGCAACGUCCCUGACAGCUGCUGCCCAUCUCCACGUGGGGCCCUCCAAUAACUGGAAACUUGGUCUUAAAUUUUUUAACUUGGAAAAUACAAACAAUGACGACGACCGUG